UCCCGAAUAGCUCAGUCGGUAGAGCAAGUGACUGUUAAUCACUGUGUCCCUGGUUCGAGUCCAGGUUCGGGAG
rnacentral:tRNA from 1 species